UGGUAUGGUGAUAAUAUGGUAUGGUUAUAAUAUGGUAUGGUGAUAAUAUGGUAUGGUGAGGCCUCUUAGUAUGAUGAUAAUAUGGUAUGGUGAGGUCCCUCAGUACGGUGAUAAUAUGGUAUGGUGAUAAUAUGGUAUGGUGAGGUCUCUCAGUAUGGUGAUAAUAUGGUAUGGUGAGGUCUCCUAGUAUGGUGAUAAUAUGGUAUGGUGAGGUCCCUCAGUAUGGUGAUAAUAUGGUAUGGUGAUAAUAUGGUAUGGUGAUAAUAUGGUAUGGUGAGGUCCCUCAGUAUGGUGAUAAUAUGGUAUGGUGAGGUCUCUCAGUAUGGUGAUAAUAUGGUAUGGUGAGGUCUCUCAGUAUGGUGAUAAUAUGGUAUGGUGAGGUCUCUCAGUAUGGUGAUAAUAUGGUAUGGUGAGGUCCCUCAGUAUGGUGAUAAUAUGGUAUGGUGAGGUCCCUCAGUAUGGUGAUAAUAUGGUAUGGUAAUAAUAUGGUAUGGUGAGGUCCCUCAGUAUGGUGAUAAUAUGGUAUGGUAAUAAUAUGGUAUGGUGAGGUCUCUCAGUAUGGUGAUAAUAUGGUAUGGUGAGGUCCCUCAGUAUGGUGAUAAUAUGGUAUGGUGAGGUCCCUCAGUAUGGUGAUAAUAUGGUAUGGUAAUAAUAUGGUAUGGUGAGGUCCCUCAGUAUGGUGAUAAUAUGGUAUGGUAAUAAUAUGGUAUGGUGAGGUCCCUCAGUAUGGUGAUAAUAUGGUAUGG